GACGAACCGAGCGAACGUUAUUCGGAAUCACUGGGCUUAAAGGGUGCGUAGGCGGGCACGCGAGUCAGGGGUGAAAUCCCACGGCCCAACCGUGGAAGUGCCUCUGAUACCGCGAGCCUCGAGGGGGAUAGGGGCGUGCGGAACUUCCGGUGGAGCGGUGAAAUGCGUAGAUAUCAGGAGGAACACCUAUGGCGAAAGCGGCUCACUGGACCAUAACUGACGCUGAUGCACGAAAGCUAGGGGAGCAAACAGG
rnacentral:rRNA from 1 species